rnacentral:rRNA from 1 species
GGGUUGUGAGGUUAAGCGACUAAGCGUACACGGUGGAUGCCCUGGCAGUCAGAGGCGAUGAAGGGCGUGCUAAUCUGCGAUAAGCGCCGGUAAGGUGAUAUGAACCGUUAUAACCGGCGAUACCCGAAUGGGGAAACCCAGUGUGAUUCGUCACACUAUCAUUAACUGAAUCCAUAGGUUAAUGAGGCGAACCGGGGGAACUGAAACAUCUAAGUACCCCGAGGAAAAGAAAUCAACCGAGAUUCCCCCAGUAGCGGCGAGCGAACGGGGAGGAGCCCAGAGCCUGAAUCAGCAUGUGUGUUAGUGGAAGCGUCUGGAAAGGCGCGCGAUACAGGGUGACAGCCCCGUACACAAAAGCGCAUGUGCUGUGAGCUCGAUGAGUAGGGCGGGACACGUGGUAUCCUGUCUGAAUAUGGGGGGACCAUCCUCCAAGGCUAAAUACUCCUGACUGACCGAUAGUGAACCAGUACCGUGAGGGAAAGGCGAAAAGAACCCCGGCGAGGGGAGUGAAAAAGAACCUGAAACCGUGUACGUACAAGCAGUGGGAGCACAGGUUUACCUGUGUGACUGCGUACCUUUUGUAUAAUGGGUCAGCGACUUAUAUUCUGUAGCAAGGUUAACCGUAUAGGGGAGCCGUAGGGAAACCGAGUCUUAAUUGGGCGUUAAGUUGCAGGGUAUAGACCCGAAACCCGGUGAUCUAGCCAUGGGCAGGUUGAAGGUUGGGUAACACUAACUGGAGGACCGAACCGACUAAUGUUGAAAAAUUAGCGGAUGACCUGUGGCUGGGGGUGAAAGGCCAAUCAAACCGGGAGAUAGCUGGUUCUCCCCGAAAGCUAUUUAGGUAGCGCCUCGUGAAUUCAUCUCCGGGGGUAGAGCACUGUUUCGGCUAGGGGGCCAUCCCGGCUUACCAACCCGAUGCAAACUGCGAAUACCGGAGAAUGUUAUCACGGGAGACACACGGCGGGUGCUAACGUCCGUCGUGAAGAGGGAAACAACCCAGACCGCCAGCUAAGGUCCCAAAGUCAUGGUUAAGUGGGAAACGAUGUGGGAAGGCCCAGACAGCCAGGAUGUUGGCUUAGAAGCAGCCAUCAUUUAAAGAAAGCGUAAUAGCUCACUGGUCGAGUCGGCCUGCGCGGAAGAUGUAACGGGGCUAAACCAUGCACCGAAGCUGCGGCAGCGACACUGUGUGUUGUUGGGUAGGGGAGCGUUCUGUAAGCCUGUGAAGGUGGCCUGUGAGGG